AAAAAAUAAAGGAAUAUUUAUUUAUUUAAACAGUCCAUGUACAGAGCCCAAAUUACAAUAUAAGCCCACAACCCGUUACACUCUUUGACCCAACUCGGUAAAACCCAAAGACCCGAUUACAUUUUUUAGCCCAACUGAACACUUAAAACUACCGAAAACCCGGUUAUACCCAACCCACAAGUGGACGGCCCAAGUAGACCCAAAACUCAUGAAGGCCCGAGAGGCCCAAAACUUAAAAUUUCCAGCUAGGGUUUCCAACCCUAGCUCUUUCUCCUCGCGUCGCGACAGAUUCUAGAAAGUUCGAGGAGCGUCUGUCCAGCUCCCGGAUCAAGGCCUUUUCAAUGUUGUACCAGUGACGUUGCAACUCCCGAAAUCAAGGCCACUAUUCAAUGCACUAUAUCAGGGCCUUUCAACGCCCCAUCAGUGCCUCACCAUCUCAACGACUCCUCAACCACCGAUCGUGCCCCCAUCAACGCCUCUCCAGUGACCUUUCAGCGCACCAUCCCAGCCACCGAUUGUUUCGCUGCCGACGCCGAGAUCUUCGCAUUCACAGUGGAGACAGUACUGUGGUUAAGCCAUAACCAGUGCACGAACAAGCAUCCAGGCAGAUUCGCAUCAACAGCAAUCUUUGCCAGAUUUUUUGGCACCUGCAAGCAAAAAAAGAAACCAGCAAAAAAGGCAAGAAACAAACAGCAGAAAAUAGAAACAAAAAUGGAAAGAAAUCUUUGAUUUUUUUCCUAAAAUUGUAAAAGUCUGAGGCUAUAAAGCCUCUCUUCAACUUGUAAACAGGGACGCUUAUUCACGCUGAAAAAGAGAGAAAGAUACACUAAGUACACUGAUAAAGGCUUACAUAUAGAAACAGAGAGAAACAAAAAAAGAGAAAUACAUAGAUUUACACACUUAGAAAGAAAAACACAAAAAGUUGUAUUCAUUUAAAACAGAGAAAUAAAAGCCAGUUUCCUGUUUUUGAGGUAAUCGAAUCGUUUUUUUUGCUUAUUUUUACUCACAUGUUCUUCUUCUUGCAUGUAUAUACAGAUUUUUUAAAAAAAAUAACUAAGGAAAACAAAGGGAGGAAGAGAUCACCUGAUGAUUGGCGAAGGAAAUGAGGGUUUUUUAAACCCUAGCCACCGUGUACGGUGGCCCAGACGGUGGUGCGUGGAGGCGCGUAUGAGCAAAACACGGUGGAGCCUUGGGAAGAGCCAGGACGGCCCUGUGGCCAGAGCUCCGAGGGCCAGAGGUUUUCUCAGAGAAUUUUUUUGUUUUUUUUUUGAAAUGCAGGUUGCAAAAUGAAUCUGGGGUGUGAAAUUAGGCUUAUAUAGC
rnacentral:lncRNA from 1 species